CAAGUCGAACGGUAACAGGGAGCUUGCUCCGCUGACGAGUGGCGAACGGGUGAGUAAUGCGUCGGAACGUGCCGAGUAGUGGGGGAUAACUAUCCGAAAGGAUAGCUAAUACCGCAUACGCUUCGAGAAGGAAAGCAGGGGAUCUUCGGACCUUGCGCUAUUCGAGCGGCCGACGUCUGAUUAGCUAGUUGGUGAGGUAAAGGCUCACCAAGGCAUCGAUCAGUAGCGGGUCUGAGAGGAUGAUCCGCCACACUGGGACUGAGACACGGCCCAGACUCCUACGGGAGGCAGCAGUGGGGAAUUUUGGACAAUGGGCGCAAGCCUGAUCCAGCCAUGCCGCGUGUCUGAAGAAGGCCUUCGGGUUGUAAAGGACUUUUGUCAGGGAGGAAAUCCCUAGCGUUAAUACCGCUGGGGGAUGACAGUACCUGAAGAAUAAGCACCGGCUAACUACGUGCCAGCAGCCGCGGUAAUACGUAGGGUGCAAGCGUUAAUCGGAAUUACUGGGCGUAAAGCGUGCGCAGGCGGUUGUGUAAGUCUGAUGUGAAAGCCCCGGGCUUAACCUGGGAACUGCAUUGGAGACUGCACAGCUAGAGUGCGUCAGAGGGGGGUAGAAUUCCGCGUGUAGCAGUGAAAUGCGUAGAGAUGCGGAGGAAUACCGAUGGCGAAGGCAGCCCCCUGGGAUGACACUGACGCUCAUGCACGAAAGCGUGGGGAGCAAACAG
rnacentral:rRNA from 1 species